CCAGCAGCCGCGGUAAUACGGAGGAUGCCAGCGUUAUCCGGAAUCACUGGGUUUACCGGGUGCGCAGGCGGAAUAGUACGUCAGAGGUGAAAUCCCGCAGCUCAACUGUGGAAUUGCCUUUGAUACUGUUAUUCUUGAGUGUAGUUGAAGUAGGCGGAAUAUAUCAUGUAGCGGUGAAAUGCCUAGAUAUGCUAUAGAACACCGAUUGCGAAGGCAGCUUGCUAAACUAUUAUUGACGCUGAGGCACGAAAGCGUGGGGAGCGAACAGGAUUAGAACCCCGGGGUAGUCCACGCCGUAAACUAGGAACACUCGCUGUUGGCAAUACACAGUCAUCGGCUGAGCGAAAGCGUUAAGUGCUCCACCUGGGGGAGUACGAUCGCAAGGUUGAUAACUCAGAGGAAUUCGACGGGGGCCAGCACAAGCGGGGGAGCCUGUGGUUUACUUCGGAUUGAUACGCGAAGGAACCUUACCUGGGCUUAAAUGUCUAUUGACGUACUGAGAAAUCAGUAUUUCUUCGGACAAUUGACAAGGUCCUGCAAUGGUUGUCGUCAGCUCGUCCCUUGAGUUUUCGGNUUAAGUCCCAUAACGAGCGCAACCCCUACUUUUAGUUACCAGCAGUUCGGAUGGGGACUCUAGAGGAACUGCCUACGCAAAUAGUGAGGAAGGUGGGGAUGACGUCACAUCAGCACGGCCCUUAUGUCCAGGGCUACACACGUGCUACAAUGGCCGGUACAGAGGGCAGCUACAUCGCAAUAUGAUGCUAAUCUCACAAGCCGGUCUCAGUUCGGAUUGGAGUCUGCAACUCGACU
rnacentral:rRNA from 1 species